rnacentral:rRNA from 1 species
ACGAACGCUGGCGGCGUGCUUCACACAUGCCAGUCGCACGGAAAGGCCCUGCUUUUGUGGGGUGCUCGAGUGGCGAACGGGUGAGUAACACGUGAGUAACCUGCCCUUGACUUUGGGAUAACUUCAGGAAACUGGGGCUAAUACCGGAUAGGAGCUCCUGCUGCAUGGUGGGGGUUGGAAAGUUUCGGCGGUUGGGGAUGGACUCGCGGCUUAUCAGCUUGUUGGUGGGGUAGUGGCUUACCAAGGCUUUGACGGGUAGCCGGCCUGAGAGGGUGACCGGCCACAUUGGGACUGAGAUAUGGCCCAGACUCCUACGGGAGGCAGCAGUGGGGAAUAUUGCACAAUGGGCGGAAGCCUGAUGCAGCAACGCCGCGUGCGGGAUGACGGCCUUCGGGUUGUAAACCGCUUUCGCCUGUGACGAAGCGUGAGUGACGGUAAUGGGUAAAGAAGCACCGGCUAACUACGUG